CAUGCAUGUCUAAGUAUAAACGAUUUAAUCGUGAAACCGCGAAUGGCUCAUUAUAACAGCUAUAAUUUACUUGAUCUUGACACAAUCCUACUUGGAUAACUGUGGUAAUUCUAGAGCUAAUACAUGCAUUAAAGCUCUGACCUCACGGGAAGAGUGCAUUUAUUAGAACAAAACCAAGCGGCUUCGGCUGUUUCUGGUUGACUCAUAGUAACUGAGCUGAUCGCAUGGUCUUGCACCGGCGACGUGUCUUUCAAGUAUCUGCCGUAUCAACUUUCGAUGGUAGUGUAUCUGACUACCAUGGUGAUCACGCGUAACGGAGAAUAAGGGUUCGGCUCCGGAGAGUUCGCCUGAGAAAUCGCGAACACAUCUAAGGAAGGCAGCAGGCGCGAAAAUUACCCACUCUCAGCACGAGGAGGUAGUGACGAAAAAUAACGAGACCGUUCUCUUAUGAGGCCGGUCAUCGGAAUGGGUACAAUUUAAACCCUUUAACGAGUAUCU
rnacentral:rRNA from 1 species